GAUUAUGACGCUCGAGCGUUCCAAAUGACGCAACAAUACAGUUCCAGAACAGAGAAAGUUAAUGCCGAAGAUGUUGUUCGGUUCCACACUAAAACUGCUGUUUGACAAGUGUGAUUUGAGAAAUAAAACUUGUAGACCUUUCCUGCAGUCUCUGAGGAGAUGGACACCUCUUCUUCUUCUGGACGAUCUCCGUCUCCUACUGGGACUGUCUUCUUACCCCCUCCUAUCAUGUGGAACAGUCUCUACAAGCAGGCAGAGAUGGAGGUUCAGUUCCUGAGGGAAGAGAAGAAGACCUGUACAGAGAAGGAAGCCCACAUGCUUGAGUUGAGGGGGAAGGAUCGAACGAUCUGAAAUCAGAAGAAGGAGAUGGACAGACUUCAAGUGUGCCUCUGGGAGGAGGAAAAGAAGAAGAGGAAUGGUGGAACGGAGAAGGACGAGAUGAUUGAACAAUUACAGUCUGAGACAGACCAUCUCAGAGCCCUUUUGAAAGAUGAAAGGAGGAGAAGAAGAGUAGAAAGGGGUAUUAUGAAAGAGUGGAAGGCUGAGAUCCUGAGACUGAGGGAGGCAGAGAGCCAC